AUGAGAAUCAUUGAUCGGCUGCCUCCUGCAUGCCCCCUACUGAGGAUCGAGCCCACCACCCAGGUCAAGUGGGAACACAUAUGCUCCCUACUGAGGAAAAUAAACUGCAGUGUAUUUUUAGCAUCCGUUGGAAGGACUCGCAGCUGAAGCUACGCAGGAUCCAGGCCAUUCACUGAAGGCCCAAGGAUUGGCCGCAGUGUCACCAAGAAUUCCAGAAUGUGCCCUGGGGGUCUAUCUCUCUAAUCCCACCUCCUUGUUCCACUGAGCUGAUGUGGGAAAAGUAGGCAAAUGCAUGAAGGCAUCAAGGUCAACGGCAGCACGAGUUCCGUCUUGCUUUAGCCUCCACAGCCAUCAGCCAUCACCAGCAGAAGUAAGGGGAGAAACCCCACUAAGUACAUUGUAAACUCCGAGCCUGAAUUCUUCAGUCAGACUCACAGAGCUGAUUAAGCACUUUUAAGAUCACAACAAGGACAAUCAUUCAGAUGGUUGGUGAUGCUCCCGGAACAUUCUGCAUCCCUCCAAGCAACCUCUGUUCAAAUGCAGUGCAUCCAUGCAUGGCUGACACCAUGGACCUAUUUACAUUGUGACCAUGUACUAUACUGAUGGAAUCAUAUUUUUAUGUGCUUUACCUUUUAACAGAAUUCAGAGUAUUAUGAAAAGAGGUAUUAUGCCGAGGCUGAGCAGCAGACCCUGAGUGACGGAUGAAUGGAUUACUCCAACAUUUGCUGUGAAAAAGAGGGCUAAGGGAUUGCCUGGCUAAAGGAACCAGACAGCCUCAUUAGGCUUUUAUUGUAAUAACAGUU